rnacentral:rRNA from 1 species
GAUCCUCCCUGCUACUGCCGUUGUCUCCAUUCCCCUCGGGAUCACCAGCGAUCCAGCCGCUGCUCUCCACCUCGCACCCGCCCACGCACACAGCCUCAUCCAGCCAGCCACCUUCCACCUUGAUCUGGAGCCGCCAGAUCAAGAUCCGAUGGCCCCUAGGCCACUAGUUCAUCCCCACCGGUCCACCACAGUGCCCCGCAACCACGAUCCUGCCUCGACAGAGCAGCCGUCGCCGGCCACCAGGAACCGUGCCCUGCCUCGUCCCUCGCCCGCCGGUGACCUCGACUUCAUCCAGGCGCCGCCGGUAACCUCGCCCUUGCCUCGCGCUCCUCUUCUUCCCCGUUUUUCCUUGCGCCGCUGUUGACCCGCCUGUCGCUGCUGUUUGUCACCACAGGGAGCUGCGACGCCUUGAAGCUGCAGCACCACCGUUGAGUAGCCAUGGCCUCGAACUCUGCCGCCUCCGCGCCGCCCUGCCCUUUCCCGUCCGCCGCCCGAGCCGCCCAGACCCGCGCACGUUGCCGGCAGGAAGCCGUCGCCCCGCCAAGUCCCUCGCCCCGCCUCUGCAUCCAUGCUCCAGAUCGAACACCAAGGCCCAGUGCAGGCCGCCUCCGCUCCUCCUCACCUCCCCGACGGGUCGCCCGCCGGAUCCGCGUGGCCGGCCCCUCGCCGGAGUCGCGCCAAGUUCCCCUGCUCGCGCUCGGCCUCCUAUGCCUCACGGUCGCACGCCCGAGCCUUGCGUUGACCUCGCCAACAAGUCUUCCGGCCGCCUUCGCUAGCUCCUUCGGCCUCACCUCGCGGCCCAGAUCCGCGCGCCCACCGAUCUGCUUCCCCCUCGGUCUGUUGGCCCAACCUUCGGUUUCGUUUCGGAGUUGUGAGGAUUCGUUCGACUACGUCCGUUUGUCUUCUUCAUGGACUCGUUCUUCUUCCUUGCGGGAUCUCAGUUGCAGGUGCCGAUGCUACCAGUGCAGGUGGCGCAACCGCGCUCAAGUGGGAGCCCGAUGAAGAUCUUGUUCAUUGUUUUAUGUCUUUUACGGUUGAUCAGUAGUGGAGCCCAGUUGGGACGACCGGGGAUCUAGCAUUUGGGGUUGUCUUCCUUUAUUUUGGUUCCGCAGUCGGACCUUUGAUUGUACUUUGGAUGAUGUAUGGAUUAUUUAUGUAUUGUGUGAAGUGGCGAUUGUAAG